GCUAGGUUAGGUGUUGAAUUCCAGAUAUAUUGUAGUAUAGUUGGUCCAUUGUGCUGGCUUAAAUAGGUGAUAACUCGGAAGAAACAGUGUAUUGAACAUCCGUGGAGAAAGAUAACAUUUGGUAACACGUUCAAUUAGCGAGCUAAACAAAGUGAAGUGAAAUUACGUGUGCCGCGCGCUGAAAACGGAAGCAGUAAAAAGUGAAACUAUUAGCUGUGACGACUGGCAACCAGCAAAUGUAUAAGAGAAAAGGCGCACACAUAAUAAUAAAAGAAAAUAAAAAUUAAGGAAUUUUCGCAGUCAAAAUAUUAAUUGAUAAAAAAGGCAGUGGAAAGUGUGCAAGGAGUUUUUACCAAUCAAUUAAGACAAUAAUUCAAUAUCGCUGUGCGCUGCACGUUCGAGCGACUUCUUGAAAUGACUUUUAAAUGCUGUGACUGAAAGUGCAGUUCUACAAUUUCUAUAAGACAAUCCACGGUACAAGACUUGGUGAAGUAUGAACUAAAAGGACUUCAGAGCACCUGCGG